AGGACGAACGCUGGCGGCGUGCUUAACACAUGCAAGUCGAGCGGAAAGGCCUUUCGGGGUACUCGAGCGGCGAACGGGUGAGUAACACGUGAGUAAUCUGCCCAUCGCUUCAGGAUAGCCAUCGGAAACGGUGAUUAAUACUGGAUAUGACAUUCCUUCGCAUGUUGGGGUGUGGAAAGUUUUUUCGGCGGUGGAUGUGCUCGCGGCCUAUCAGCUUGUUGGUGGGGUAAUGGCCUACCAAGGCUUUGACGGGUAGCCGGCCUGAGAGGGUGACCGGCCACACUGGGACUGAGACACGGCCCAGACUCCUACGGGAGGCAGCAGUGGGGGAAUAUGGACAAUGGGCGGAAGCCUGAUCCAGCAACGCCGCGUGAGGAUGACGGCCUCGGUUGUAACCGUCUUCUAGCACAGACGAAGUUUGUCUUUUUGGUUGUAAGUGACGGUAUGUGUCAGUAAGAACGGACGGACCGAACGUACGUGCCAGCAGCCGC
rnacentral:rRNA from 1 species